rnacentral:lncRNA from 1 species
AUGCCCGUCACCUGUGCCCCGCGCAGCUGCUCCUGUCCAGGUGGAAUUCCACCCUCCACUCACACUCAGAGCAGACCGCGCCAGCACCGCGGCACAGGUGACCCCACAGAGACGGUCUCCUCGCACCCUUCCUUCCUGCAUGCCUCGGGCCGACCUGCCAUCAUUUUGCUGCUGGGUCAGGAGCUGGUGAGCAUUUUCUUAGCAGCGUCUGCUAGUUGUGACGCUCUCAUGCCUUUCCCUGCCCUCCAGCAGGCCAGUGGCUGCGCGGGACAUGGGAUCCCAGUGCCUCCCUGUCUCCCGGCUGCACCGUGGCUGGCUGGAAGUCGGCCUGAGCCUCACCUCUCCCAGCAGGCCAGUGGCUGCGCGGGACAUGGGAUCCCAGUGCCUCCCUGUCUCCCGGCUGCACCGUGGCUGGCUGGAAGUCGGCCUGAGCCUCACCUCUCCCAGCAGGCCAGUGGCUGCGCGGGACAUGGGAUCCCAGUGCCUCCCUGUCUCCCGGCUGCACCGUGGCUGGCUGGAAGUCGGCCUGAGCCUCACCUCUCCCAGCAGGCCAGUGGCUGCGCGGGACAUGGGAUCCCAGUGCCUCCCUGUCUCCCGGCUGCACCGUGGCUGGCUGGAAGUCGGCCUGAGCCUCACCUCUCCCUGCAGGCCAGUGGCUGCGCCGGACAUGGGAUCCCAGUGCCUCCCUGUCUCCCGGCUGCACCGUGGCUGGCUGGAAGUCGGCCUGAGCCUCACCUCUCCCUGCAGGCAGCCUCCCCCGCCCAGCGCCCUCCGCACGCACUCCCCAAGGUGCUCCCAGUUGGAUUUCUGGUCCUUCAUCUCUUGAUGCUCACUGGGCUCCUGAGGCCAAGCUCCAGGCGUCUCACAUGUCAGCAGACGUCUCAGCCGCGCUGUCCUGGAAAACGACCUCAGCUUCCUCCCAGCACCGCGCUGUCUGCCUCACGCCCUCAGCCUCUCCGUCUUCCGGUGCUGUCUUCGCUCCACGCUCCGGGGCAUUCUGUCAGCUCGACGUUCCUUGGCUGUGCAUUCCUCUUGCUGGCUAAGCUGCCCAUCAGGUUUUAA